rnacentral:rRNA from 1 species
UACGUAGGUCCCGAGCGUUGUCCGGAUUUAUUGGGCGUAAAGCGAGCGCAGGUGGUUUAUUAAGUCUGGUGUAAAAGGCAGUGGCUCAACCAUUGUAUGCAUUGGAAACUGGUAGACUUGAGUGCAGGGGAGGAGAGUGGAAUUCCAUGUGUAGCGGAGAAAUGCGUAGAUAUAUGGAGGAACACCGGUGGCGAAAGCGGCUCUCUGGCCUGUAACUGACACUGAGGCCCGAAAGCGUGGGGAGCAAACAGG